rnacentral:sRNA from 1 species
CAAAUAAAAUCGCUUAAUCCAUUUAGGAGCGGGGGAACCAAAUUUGUGCAUUGCCACUAGGGGUGAAUCCUUUUAUAGGUAGGGCUACUCUCAAGGUCCGAAUCCGACAGCUAACCUCGUCAGCGUUUUGAGAGGGGGGAC